ensembl:miRNA
UAUUAGAUUGGUGCAAAAGUAAUUGCGGUUUUUGUCAUUACUUUCAAUGGCAAAACCCUCAAUAAUGUUUGCACCAGCCUAAUA